rnacentral:rRNA from 1 species
UAAAAACCCCGACUUCGGAAGGGGUGUAUUUAUUAAAUACAAAACCAAUGCCCUUCGGGGCUCUUUGGUGAUUCAUGAUAACUAUACGAAUCGCACGGCCUUGCGCCGGCGAUGGUUCAUUCAAAUUUCUUCCCUAUCAACUUUCGAUGUUUGGGUAUUGGCCAAACAUGGUUGCGACGGGUAACGGAGGGUUAGGGCUCGACCCCGGAGAAGGAGCCUGAGAAACGGCUACUACAUCCAAGGAAGGCAGCAGGCGCGCAAAUUACCCAAUCCCGACUCGGGGAGGUAGUGACAAUAAAUACUGAUACAGGGCCCUUUCGGGCCUUGUAAUUGGAAUGAGUACAAUUUAAAUCCCUUAACGAGGAACAAUUGGAGGGCAAGUCUGGUGCCAGCAGCCGCGGUAAUUCCAGCUCCAAUAGCGUAUAUUAAAGUUGUUGUGGUUAAAAAGCUCGUAGUUGAACCUUGGGCCUGGCUGGCCGGUCCGCCUCACCGCGUGCACUGGUCCGGCCGGGCCUUUCCCUCUGUGGAACCCCAUACCCUUCACUGGGCGUGGCGGGGAAACAGGACAUUUACUUU